rnacentral:rRNA from 1 species
UGGAGGCAGCAGUGGGGAAUCUUGCACAAUGGGGGAAACCCUGAUGCAGCGACGCCGCGUGAGCGAUGAAGCCCUUCGGGGUGUAAAGCUCUUUCGGCAGGGACGAUAAUGACGGUACCUGCAGAAGCAGCUGCGGCUAACUACGUGCCAGCAGCCGCGGUAAUACGUAGGCAGCGAGCGUUGUUCGGAGUUACUGGGCGUAAAGGGUGUGUAGGCGGUUUUCUAAGUUUGGUGUGAAAUCCCCCGGCUCAACCGGGAGGGUGCGCCGAAAACUGGGAGACUAGAGUGCGGGAUGGGAGAGUAGAAUUCCUGGUGUAGCGGUGAAAUGCGUAGAUAUCAGGAGGAAUACCGGUGGUGUAGACGGCUCUCUGGACCGCCACUGACGCUGAGACACGAAAGCGUGGGUAGCAAACAGGAUUAGAUACCCCGGU